rnacentral:misc_RNA from 1 species
AAGAUUACUUGCAAGCAAGGCACAUUGAAACCCCCUCCACUUUAUAGCAUACGAUAAUUUCUAUAAAAGCAAUUUGUUUCCCAGUUUCCCGGUUUACCUGAAAUCUCCUGAAAAGUCGCGUUUUGCAAUUUAAUCUCGGCAAGCACGAAAAUGGUAGCAGCGCAUCUCGGACGCUAUGGAGGUCGCACAGGAAGCAAGAGACUGUUCAAGCUCUGAGAUUCAUUCUUCGCAACUCACAGUCGAUACCCCUCUUUCACUACCUGAUAAUGAUAUGUCUCCCC